CCGCCAUUCCACCUCUCGCUUCGCUUCUUCUCCUCUCUCUCUCUCUAUCUUCACCUCGCAUCGUUGGAGAUAUGGAGGGAGUUGACGUGAAGGCGCCGCGGCCAGGCUGCGGCGGCGACGACGACGACGAGCAGGAGGGAGGCGAGGUCGUCGAAGGGAAGGAGGAACACCGACCGGGCCGCCGCGUCGAGGCCCACGGGCCCACUGACCAGUGAACAUUAGCUAGCUAGCUGAUCUCGUUGGAAUUGGUCCUUCGGAAACAGAAGGCAUUUUCGUUGGACUUUUCUGAUUGAUGUCCUAGUUUGAAAUGUUCACAUGUAUGAUAGCACUAGUAGUAUCACGCAAUCCAUGUGCCAGUCUUGAUUUGCAAAUUGCAAUGUACUUAUCAAAAUUGGUGAUCAUGGACUAUCCCAGCUGUGCAUGGGUAAACCAUU
rnacentral:sRNA from 1 species